rnacentral:rRNA from 1 species
GACGUAGGGCGCGAGCGUUGUCCGGAUUUAUUGGGCGUAAAGAGCUCGUAGGCGGCUUGUUGCGUCGACUGUGAAAACCCGCGGCUUAACUGCGGGCUUGCAGUUGAUACGGGCAGGCUAGAGUUCGGUAGGGGAGACUGGAAUUCCUGGUGUAGCGGUGAAAUGCGCAGAUAUCAGGAGGAACACCGGUGGCGAAGGCGGGUCUCUGGGCCGAUACUGACGCUGAGGAGCGAAGACGUGGGGAGCAAACAGG